CAAAAAACAAAAGGAAUACAAGGUGAAGGAACAGUGAGAAGUUUGAAUGAAAACAAUCCUGAAGAGCAUCUUGCUGAAGGCAGAAGUAAUGUAGGUAACACUAACAAAAGAAGUAGGAAAGAUGAAGGUGAUCAAUAUGACUCUGACAGUGACUCGUACUUCUGCAGUGAUGAGGAUGAAGAUGAUAAAAGCGAGGAUUCUGAAUGUGAAGUGAAAGAAAGUAAAGUCCAUUACUCACAGAAAUCAAAUACACCUUCACCAUGCAACACGUCAGCACGAAGACCAUCAAAAUCUCAACAGAGAAAUGCCAUACCAGCAGAAAAGAACAAAGUGCAAGAACUACCAGAUGUUGCUGCUGUAACAUUGCAGUCUGACACAGACCUGUGUAAAGUGUAGCCCAUUUCAAAUAAGUAAAAAAGACCGGCAUUAUGGUCAUAUCAGCAAAACA